AUUGAACGCUGGCGGCAGGCCUAACACAUGCAAGUCGAGCGAGCGGCGGACGGGUGAGUAAUGUCUGGGAAACUGCCUGAUGGAGGGGGAUAACUACUGGAAACGGUAGCUAAUACCGCAUACCAUCAAAUGUGCCCAGAUGGGAUUAGCUCGUAGGUGGGGUAACGGCUCACCUAGGCGACGAUCCCUAGCUGGUCUGAGAGGAUGACCAGCCACACUGGAACUGAGACACGGUACAGACUCCUACGGGAGGCAGUAGGGGUGAAUAUUGGACAAGGGGCGCAGGCCUGAUGCAGCAAUGCAGCGUGUGUUAAGAAGGCCUUCGGGUUGUAAAGCACUUUCAGCGGGGAGGCGUUACCCGCAGAAGAAGCACCGGCUAACUCCGUGCCAGCAGCAGCGGUAAUUC
rnacentral:rRNA from 1 species